GCAGGUUCUCGGCCUUUUGGCUAAGAUCAAGUGUAGUAUCUAUUCUUAUCAGUUUGUUGACUUUUAAUAUCCAGUGAUAACCCUUA
rnacentral:snRNA from 1 species